GGUAACAGAAUCAUUCCUCCUCUCGCAGACUAGUGAGCUGCUCAACAACCAUGCUGAUCUUCUCCUCUUCGCUGUUGAAGGCGGUGGUGAAUAAUCUGGAGGACGCUCACGAGCUGGUCGACACCGCCAUAGCCACGGCCCUGAGAGAGAGCAAACCAGUGUACCUGAGCAUCAGCUGCAACAUAGUGGGGAUUCCGCACCCUACAUUCAGCCGGGAGCCCGUCCCCUUCUCCCUCCCCCCCUGGUAGUUCCAUCUACUUACUCGUCUUCCCUCGGCUGGAUUAAGCUCCUGCGUUGAUGAGGGAGGCUGACGACGCCUUUGUUACCCACAGGAUAAGCAACCUUGCGGGUCUGGAGGCGGCGGUGGAGGCGGCGGCGGAGUUC
rnacentral:lncRNA from 1 species